GAAAUGCGAUAAGUAAUGUGAAUUGCAGAAUUCAGUGAAUCAUCGAAUCGUUGAACGCACAUUGCGCCCGCCAGCACUCUGGCGGGCAUGCCUGUUCGAGCGUCAUUUCAACCCUCAGAACCCCUUGCGGGAUCUGGCGUUGGGGAUUGGCAUCCAGCCAGCCCCGAAAUCUAGUGGCGGUCCCUCCGCGACCUCCCCUGUGCAGUAGCGAUACCUCGCAGCGGGACAGCGGUCUGACCACGCCGUAAAACCCCCAACUUCUCAAGGUUGACCUCGAAUCAGGUAGGAAUACCCGCUGAACUUAAGC
rnacentral:misc_RNA from 1 species